AUUGAACGCUGGCGGAAUGCUUUACACAUGCAAGUCGAACGGCAGCACGGGGCAACCUGGUGGCGAGUGGCGAACGGGUGAGUAAUACAUCGGAACGUGCCCAAUCGUGGGGGGAUAACGUAGCGAAAGUUACGCUAAUACCGCAUACGAUCUACGCAUGAAAGCGGGGGAUCGCAAGACCUCGCGCGAAUGGAGCGGCCGAUGUCAGAUUAGGUAGUUGGUGGGGUAAAGGCUCACCAAGCCGACGAUCUGUAGCUGGUCUGAGAGGACGACCAGCCACACUGGGACUGAGACACGGCCCAGACUCCUACGGGAGGCAGCAGUGGGGAAUUUUGGACAAUGGGCGCAAGCCUGAUCCAGCCAUUCCGCGUGAAGGAUGAAGGCCUUCGGGUUGUAAACUGCUCUUGUACGGAACGAAAAGGACUCUGGUUAAUACCUGGAGUUUAUGACGGUACCGUAAGAAUAAGCACGGCUAACUACGUGCCAGCAGCCGCGGUAA
rnacentral:rRNA from 1 species